UUAGCCCUGCAAGUUGCGAAGUCUCAAGUGCCACUUGAGAUUCGAAAGAUUUUCAUAGCAACUGUGGGGCUAU
rnacentral:sRNA from 12 species